rnacentral:sRNA from 1 species
AAGUAAUUCCGGCUGUUGCACCAUGGCGUCCAUGGGGACCCUCGCCUUCGAUGAAUAUGGGCGCCCUUUCCUCAUCAUCAAGGAUCAGGACCGCAAGUCCCGUCUUAUGGGACUUGAGGCCCUCAAGGGUCAACAGUUGUCACCGACAGAUGGCUGAGAUUGCUGUGAAUGCCGUCCUCACUGUAGCAGAUAUGGAGCGGAGAGACGUUGACUUUGAGCUUAUCAAAGUAGAAGGCAAAGUGGGCGGCAGGCUGGAGGACACUAAACUGAUUAAGGGCGUGAUUGUGGACAAGGAUUUCAGUCACCCACAGAUGCCAAAAAAAGUGGAAGAUGCGAAGAUUGCAAUUCUCACAUGUCCAUUUGAACCACCCAAACCAAAAACAAAGCAUAAGCUGGAUGUGACCUCUGUCGAAGAUUAUAAAGCCCUUCAGAAAUACGAAAAGGAGAAAUUUGAAGAGAUGAUUCAACAAAUUAAAGAGACUGGUGCUAACCUAGCAAUUUGUCAGUGGGGCUUUGAUGAUGAAGCAAAUCACUUACUUCUUCAGAACAACUUGCCUGCGGUUCGCUGGGUAGGAGGACCUGAAAUUGAGCUGAUUGCCAUCGCAACAGGAGGGCGGAUCGUCCCCAGGUUCUCAGAGCUCACAGCCGAGAAGCUGGGCUUUGCUGGUCUUGUACAGGAGAUCUCAUUUGGGACAACUAAGGAUAAAAUGCUGGUCAUCGAGCAGUGUAAGAACUCCAGAGCUGUAACCAUUUUUAUUAGAGGAGGAAAUAAGAUGGUGAGAAUUCAACUAUUUGUCCUAUACUGUUGCUUAUUUUGCUUCAUGGUCUGGCUUUUUUGCCUGUGUGUAUUUAACAGAGACACAGUCACCAUAAGAAAAAUAAUCAUGGUUCUCGAACAAUGACGUAUCAUGGUGUAAAAUUACUGAAGACCAUGUUAAAUUGUUAAUUUCACAAGGCACAUUUGCCUUUCUGCUGUCCCUUAUAGUAUAUAAUAUACACUAUGAGAUUUUUAUAUCUUUUUAAAUACUUAAACACAGUUUAAAUAUUCAAGUCCUGGAUUUUAGAAUGUUUGAUACAGUUACAUUAGGGGUUGGUUAAACUGCUAGUCCUAGCAACAUAAGACUCAUUUUAAUUACAAUAUGGUAUUAUUACCAAGGAUGACUUACAUCUGUCCCUUAGGUAGAAAAAGGGAACCCAAGUGAAUAACCAUUGACAAUCUCUGUUCUUUGAGA